CAUGAGAUCAAGGGUGAAGAAAGUCUAGGAGAUAAGAUGUUAGCAAAGGAAAUACAGAAUGAAGCUUUAUGCAAGGAAAUUCAAAAGACAGAUGCAAGUGAGACAAUUGAAAAACAUAUCAGCACAGAAAUAGGAGCAGUUGAUAACCUUCACCAAGUUGUUGUUCAGAAUAAGACUGCUGAAGUGCACUUUCCAGAUGAAACAUGGGAAAAAAAUGUUCAGAAGACAGAAGGGAAACCAAUCAUUGAAAAUCAGGGUGAUGAGACAAUAUCUAGAGAUGGUAUAACAGAAGCCACAACUGCAACUGAAAAGGUUAGAUUACAUUUAGUCUACCUCAAUCUGAGUUUUCUGAAUUGUUUUAUGUAUAUAUAUAUAUAUACAUGUUCUUUAUUCUUUUAAAGAACUAAAUAGAGCUUAAAGAUCAAACUGGAUAAGAAAAAUAUUCCACCUGACAUUCCAAAUUAGAAUCUUCAUAUUUUGUCUUAUCAGAAAUUGGGUGCAGAGACAUCACAAAUAGAAGUUGCCACAGGCCUUGCAAAAGCCUCUGAAACCACUAAGGACAUUCAUCAGGAAGAGAGUACCUCUGAUGGAACAUUGGAAAACCAGAGAUUGAGAGAAGUAGAGCUAGAUACAAUCAUUUCAACCGGAAAGAAAGAUGUUCCACAGAUGCUGCAAGAACUAGUUGCAGAAGCCACAAAAGUUACUGAAAUAGAAGGUUCACAGCAUGUAUAUGCUACAGAUGUCGAUUCAGAAGUAAAAGGAGUUGAACAUGGAUCAGAUAAUAUAGUGGAUGAGAAAGAUGAAAAAGCAAUUGAGGAGACAGUUUCAAAGGAUUCAGCCAAAUUUUCAUUAUUUGACAUGAUGCAGAAAUCCACGAGAGAAAGGCAAGCAGCUGGAGAAUUGACUGAAGCUAAAGAACCAACAGCAACAAAAGAAGAAAUGAAAGUUGAAAAACAAACCGAACAAACAAAAAGGGCAAAAUCUGAUGAAGAAGAAGAAGAGGAAGGAGAGGAGCACAAAAAGAAUGACUCAGGCUCUGAAGCUCCAGUAAUUGUAGAAGCCUCAAGGGCCAUAGACAUUAAGGUUGCACACAAGAAAUCCCAUAACAUAUUAUCCGGUGUUGGAUCAAAGGUGAAGCAGUCCAUUUCCAAGGUGAAGAAAGCCAUUACUGGCAAGUCCUCUCAUCCAAAGCAACAAUCACUAAAAUGAAGUACAAAAUACUAGGUGACAAAAACAAAAUUCAUUCAAAGGGUUGUUCUCAGUUGAUGUUUUGAUUAUAGGAUUAAGGUUUGAAGUGUGGGGUGUGCAUAUAGGUAGCUUGUAAGUACAAAUUAAGAUUCUGCACAUAUAUGUAUAGAGAGUUGAACAUGCCAUGAUUGUAAUGCAUUAUUGUUUCCAAGAAGAAGCUCUACUGUGGAAAAUCUUGAAACCAGAUUUUAUUAUUCUUCUUAAACAUAAAUUCAG
rnacentral:misc_RNA from 1 species